rnacentral:lncRNA from 1 species
GAUUGUUUUAGAGCUAUUUAAGUACUUGCAUAACUUUUUAGUCAAACAAUCAGUAAACAACAAAAAUAUAUUUCAGAUUGAAUACAAUGGAGUCGGCCACAAUAAUAUUGCAAUGCCUGUUUCACUGUACCAUAAAAUGUUGCAUAUAAAAUUAUAGCGUACAACAAUAUACAGUAGGCAGGUAAUAAGUUACUGUGUACAGCAGCCGGUAUAAAGGGAAGGUAAAGAGUAGGUGUAUGGAAUAUAUGCUAUACACAUUGUAUCUUUUUCUUUAAACAAUGAUGUACUUGGUAUCAAUGUCUGAAAGUUAAUGAGGGUGGAAAAUGAAAUGGAGAAACUACUAAAGAAAGGCUGCCAGGAAAAAGCAGAACUUACAGCCUUCUCUUAGCACACUUGGUCUCAUUCAUAAGCUCCGUCAAUGAAGGAAGGGGUCGAGGCACUCUCACAUUCAUAGACCGGUAUAUUUUUCUCAAACUUGGAUUAUAACUCUUUGACAAUCCAUCAGCUGACUCAGAAAUAUGUCUACAAUAUUCUGUUUCUGUAUGCAUCAAGAUCUCUUUACUCCUAAUGUCUAAACCUUCACUUCAGCUGACUCAGAAAUAUGUCUACAAUACUCUGUUUCUGUAUGCAUCAAGAUCUCUUUACUCCUAAUGUCUAAACCUUCACUUAUUGCCAAGGUCUUACCUUCUUCCUUAAAUGAAAUAACCCCUAACUCGUCA